rfam:Octopus bimaculoides Scaffold2117_contig_8, whole genome shotgun sequence.
UUGCUUUGGCAGUACAUAUAUUGAAAUUGGGAAAAUACAGAGACAAUCAACAUGGCCCCUGCAACAAGGAUGAUACGCAGAUUUGUGAAGUGUUCCAUAUUUUC